GGAGGGUGCAAGCGUUGUUCGGAAUUAUUGGGCGUAAAGAGCGUGUAGGCGGUCGGGUAAGUCAGAUGUGAAAGCCUUCUGCUUAACAGAAGAAGUGCAUUUGAGACUGCUUGGCUGGAGUACGGGAGAGGAGAGUGGAAUUCCCGGUGUAGAGGUGAAAUUCGUAGAUAUCGGGAGGAACACCGGUGGCGAAGGCGGCUCUCUGGCCCGAUACUGACGCUGAGACGCGAAAGCGUGGGGAGCAAACAGGAUUAGAUACCCUGGUAGUCCACGCCGUAAACGAUGGGCACUAGGUGUAGGAGGUAUUGACCCCUUCUGUGCCGAAGUUAACGCAUUAAGUGCCCCGCCUGGGGAGUACGGCCGCAAGGCUA
rnacentral:rRNA from 1 species